GACGAACGCUGGCAGCGUGCUUAACACAUGCAAGUCGAACGCUGAAGCUCAGCUUUUGUUGGGUGGAUGAGUGGCGAACGGGUGAGUAACACGUGAGUAACCUGCCUCCUUCUUUGGGAUAACGCCCGGAAACGGGUGCUAAUACUGGAUAUUCACUGGUCUUCGCAUGGGGGUUGGUGGAAAGGGUUUUUCUGGUGGGGGAUGGGCUCGCGGCCUAUCAGCUUGUUGGUGGGGUGAUGGCCUACCAAGGCUUUGACGGGUAGCCGGCCUGAGAGGGUGACCGGUCACAUUGGGACUGAGAUACGGCCCAGACUCCUACGGGAGGCAGCAGUGGGGAAUAUUGCACAAUGGGCGCAAGCCUGAUGCAGCGACGCCGCGUGAGGGAUGGAGGCCUUCGGGUUGUGAACCUCUUUCGCUCAUGGUCAAGCCGCAACAAUGGUUGUGGUGAGGGUAGUGGGUAAAGAAGCGCCGGCUAACUACGUG
rnacentral:rRNA from 1 species